CCUACGGGCGGCAGCAGUGGGGAAUAUUGGGCAAUGGGCGCAAGCCUGACCCAGCAACGCCGCGUGAAGGAAGAAGGCUUUCGGGUUGUAAACUUCUUUUGUCAGGGAAGAGUAGAAGACGGUACCUGACGAAUAAGCUACGACUAACGACGUGCCAGCAGCCGCGGUAAUACGUAGGUGGCAAGCGUUGUCCGGAUUUACUGGGUGUAAAGGGCGUGUAGCCGGGUUGAUAAGUCAGAUGUGAAAUCCUGCGGCUUAACCGCAGAACUGCAUUUGAAACUGUUUAUCUUGAGUACUGGAGAGGCAGGUGGAAUUCCUGGUGUAGCGGUGAAAUGCGUAGAUAUUAGGAGGAACACCGGUGGCGAAGGCGGCCUGCUGGACAGCAACUGACGGUGAGGCGCGAAAGCGUGGGUAGCAAACAGGAUUAGAUACCCGUGUAGUC
rnacentral:rRNA from 1 species